rnacentral:rRNA from 1 species
ACACUGGGAUAGCCUUUCGAAAGAAAGAUUAAUACCGGAUGGCAUAAUUAUUCCGCAUGGGAUAAUUAUUAAAGAAUUUCGGUUGUCGAUGGGGAUGCGUUCCAUUAGGCAGUUGGCGGGGUAACGGCCCACCAAACCUACGAUGGAUAGGGGUUCUGAGAGGAAGGUCCCCCACAUUGGAACUGAGACACGGUCCAAACUCCUACGGGAGGCAGCAGUGAGGAAUAUUGGUCAAUGGACGAGAGUCUGAACCAGCCAAGUAGCGUGAAGGAUGACUGCCCUAUGGGUUGUAAACUUCUUUUAUACGGGAAUAAAGUGAGCCACGUGUGGUUUUUUGUAUGUACCGUAUGAAUAAGGAUCGGCUAACUCCGUGCCAGCAGCCGCGGUAAUACGGAGGAUCCGAGCGUUAUCCGGAUUUAUUGGGUUUAAAGGGAGCGUAGGCGGGUUGUUAAGUCAGUUGUGAAAGUUUGCGGCUCAACCGUAAAAUUGCAGUUGAUACUGGCGACCUUGAGUGCAACAGAGGUAGGCGGAAUUCGUGGUGUAGCGGUGAAAUGCUUAGAUAUCACGAAGAACUCCGAUUGCGAAGGCAGCUUACUGGAUUGUAACUGACGCUGAUGCUCGAAAGUGUGGGUAUCAAACAGGAUUAGAUACCCUGGUAGUCCACACAGUAAACGA